rnacentral:rRNA from 1 species
GGGACACGUGGUAUCCUGUCUGAAUAUGGGGGGACCAUCCUCCAAGGCUAAAUACUCCUGACUGACCGAUAGUGAACCAGUACCGUGAGGGAAAGGCGAAAAGAACCCCGGCGAGGGGAGUGAAAAAGAACCUGAAACCGUGUACGUACAAGCAGUGGGAGCCUCUUAAUGGGGUGACUGCGUACCUUUUGUAUAAUGGGUCAGCGACUUAUAUUCUGUAGCAAGGUUAACCGAAUAGGGGAGCCGAAGGGAAACCGAGUCUUAACUGGGCGUUAAGUUGCAGGGUAUAGACCCGAAACCCGGUGAUCUAGCCAUGGGCAGGUUGAAGGUUGGGUAACACUAACUGGAGG